GCUGUCUCCUGGCUUCUAGGUUCCAGCCCUCGGCGCCGUCUGCCUGACGUAGGGGCUGCUGUUUCGCCUCCCUCAGCGGACUGUCGCCCCCUUGUGAGUGGUCCCAAGGACGCUGGCCCCACCUUUGCCUCCCUGCCAGGAAAACAUGAGCACACCUUGGGGCGCGGGAGCGCCUAGAGGGCCUCCGGGGCGCUGUUUGCUUCGUCGCUUCUAGCCCCUUCGCGGCUGUUUGCUUUCCACCUAGCAGACCUCUCACUCUGGAGGGAGCCAGCCGUCCUGAUGUGAGGACAGCCGGCCAGGUAGCAUGUGGCCAGGCCCAUACGGGGAGGAACUGAGGCCUGCCUCCAACAACCGGCACGACUUGCCCUCAGUGUCCCGAGGACACGGACAGUUCCUUGAGGGUGGAAAUUACACAUUUUUCAUCAUUUCUACAACAAGGAAAGAAAUCAGCGGUGGAAGAAAGGGAGCGCAAGAUUCUGGUUGGAAACAAAAGAAGAAACACAAGACCUGGUAGCCUCUCGCCUGUCAUGAGACUGUCUUCCACCUUCUGCAUCUGAAAGACAGACAAUCCUGGUUUCCUACAACCUUGCACCUGAGAGAGAUGGAUCAUGAGUGGAUGGAUCUCUUCGCAUAGUCCAGGCAGAACAACAGGAAGAGAGAGAGAGAGAGAAGUCUAUCCUCUGAUUGACUCUUCAAAUGCCUGCCAUAGCCAGGGUUGGGCCAGGCAGAAGCCAGAAGCUCAGAGUCUCCCACAUAGGCGGGCCUGAUAGCUCGUUUCUUCUUAGCAUUGUCUGCACGGACCACAGUGGAGUAACUUACUGAAGGACGUCUUGUUUGCUUCCAAGUCUGGGUAGUUAUGAACAAAGACGCUGUGCACUCCACCUGCACGUUUUUGUGUGGACGUAAGUCUUCAGCUCCCGGCCGACACACCAAACUACGCGUACCUGUGGGGUACCGUGUUCCGGGGUGGCUCUGCCCUGCCUCCCCGUCAUCGUGUGUUCCUGAUGCCGAGCUCCCAAGUGGCGAGCUAAGAGGAUGCGAUGACCACAUGCCUGGCAGCCUGCCUUCACUCUGCCUUCACUCUGCAAGUGUCCUGCCCACGCUGCCCGUCUCUCCUGACCUGUGUUCCUCUGCUGCGGCCAAUGACCCGCAGGAAGAAUGCCAGCCAAGCUUUCUUGAGUUCAACAAAGCACACGCACAUUCUGCCUGCCAACUCUUCAACACACCCCACGACUUCUGACUACAUCUAACAAGUAUUUUGCUUAAACAUCUUAAAAUGUUUCACUUAUGUUUUUCAAACUACAAAUUUGUAUAUCUUUUUUAUAAUGGGAUUGGAUAUUCUUAAGGCCCAUGUAUAUUAGACUUCUCUUGGCCUACAUUACCUUAAGCUGAACUCCUGAUCCACCCAUCACCGCCCCAGUUUGCUCUUCCUCCCCUAUUUCCAAUCUCAGAAAUGAUAUUUCUUGACCUCAGAGUCGACCCUGAUUACAGACUCUCCUUACCCCCUCAUAUCAGUGUGUCAUCAGCACCUCACCUUUCUGCUCCCAAAAUGUACUUCUAGGAACUCCUCUGUCUCCCUGCCACCCCAGCUCAAGCCCUCUGAGGAGGCUGCAGUUUGCCUCGGUCUCUGCCCUUGGCCACCUCCGUCCUGUCACCCACAGCAGCCCAGAAUGCUCUUUCUCACACACCAGCUGAAGUGUGUCACUCCUCCAGGUAAAAGCCUUCAAUGGUUUCCCACUGCACUUAGGGUCAAAGCCAAAGUUCUUAACAUAGUAUCUGAGGGGCACAUCUGUGGUCAACUGUGGUUUCAAAAUACUACAUGGAAAAUUCCAGAAUAAAUGAUUCAUAAGUUUUUAAAAACUUUUA